GAAGAGCAGCUGGGUCAUGGUAAAGGCGCCCUGGUUUACCGCCCCUGUGCAGGGGGGUUUUGGUGGGAGUCCAUGGAGCUGUCCAUCGAGGAGGCGGGGUGCAUGUUCUGUAGCAGGUGGAACUAGGCCUCGCCCCUGAUGCCCCUUGGUCCCUGGGUGCAUCCUGCAGUUGGCACCCAGUUGCAUGCUGUCUUCCCCGUCAGACUUGCAGGGUAGAGGGGCAGCGCCAGUGACUGCCCUCCCACUUCCGCUUGGCAAGCCUUGCCUGCGUGGCGUCGCUGUUCUGCCCGCGUGUACUCUCACCUGUGGCGUGGGGAGAGCACCUGCUUCACCACACGAGGCUUCCUGCUCAUGAUGGUGCCGAGGGUCCCAGUGGGUGACCCUUUCUUCAGUUUCCAGGAAAACAAAACUUAAUUGAUGGGUGACAGGGAAGCAAUGCUGUGGUGGAGUGCCCCAGAGGUAAACCUUUUAUUGGAGAUAAUGGUGAUCACACGCCUUCUUGUGAGAAGGAGAACAAUCCCAUGUGCCCUUCACCUAGUUUCCUGCAGCGAAUGGUAGGAUCGUGAAAACUGCAGGACAAUCCUGCAAGCCAGAGGUGACGGG